UACGGGGGGAGCAAGCGUUGUUCGGAUUUACUGGGCGUAAAGGGCGCGUAGGCGGCCAGCACAAGUCAGUUGUGAAAUCUCCGAGCUUAACUCGGAAAGGUCAACUGAUACUGUGCGGCUAGAGUGCGGAAGGGGCAACUGGAAUUCUUGGUGUAGCGGUGAAAUGCGUAGAUAUCGGGAAGAACAUCAGUGGCGAAGGCGGUCUGCUGGGCCGUUGCUGACGCUGAGGCGCGACAGCGUGGGGAGCAAACAGG
rnacentral:rRNA from 1 species